AGAGGGGAGAGGGGAGAGGAGAGGGACUCCACUGUCCACGCCGGGGGAGCGGGGUCCCGCUGUCGAAAGCAGGGCCCCACUGUCCCGGCGGGCGGGCGGGGAGACUCAGGGCCGCUGUGGGGAGCGACGACAGCAGAUUGACAUCGAGCAGCGGAACGUGUGAACGGCAGUCACCAUCAUGGCUGAUGGAGCGGACCAGGGAGGAGAUCCAGUGGCCUCGGCAACGAGGACAGACGACGCUCCUCCAAUGUCUUCGA